GGUCCCAUCGUCUAGUGGUUAGGACAUCAGGUUUUCAUCCUGAAAACAGGGGUUCGACUCCCCUUGGGAUCACCA
rnacentral:tRNA from 1 species